AUCACUCGCCCACCGCCCCAUAGCUAAACAACAGACAGAAGCAAUCGCCACCCGCGCGUCGAUGCGAGCGGAGCGCCGCUCGACCCGGGGAUUCUUCAGAAGAAGUCAUAUUGGAAACUUGUGCUUACGGAGCGGGGGUUUGGUCCACUUCCAGAGAAUCGGGGUAGCUACAUAAACUAUUUGGAAUUCUGCACAGGA